rnacentral:rRNA from 1 species
GAGAGUUAAACAGUACGUGAAAUUGUUGAAAGGGAAACGAUUGAAGCCAGUCGUACCUUCGGGUAAUCAGCCUUUUGGGUGUGAUUUUGUGGAGCGUGAAGAGUUAAACGCCUUCAUGCCUGCAUAUUCGUGCACUUUGGGUGUACUUGCCCGUAUGGUUGGUUAACAUCAAUUUUGGUGGUCAUAAAAUGACUGGAGGAAUGUAGCUUCGAUCUUGUAUUGAAGUGUUAUAGCCUUCGGUAGAUGUGAUGAUCGAGAUUGAGGAUUGCAACGGAUACCCUUCGGGGCUACCUGUCUGAUCUCUGAUCGUUGCUCUGGUGCCGAAAGCUUGCUUACGGUUAUCAAAGUCGAUGGUCAAUAGGUUAGAACGGGUUAAAUUCGUUAAGGAUGUUGACGUAAUGGCUUUAAACGA